GCCUGGGUGGUUCAGUUGGUUGAGCAUCCAACUUUGGCCCAGGUCAUGAUCUCGAGGGUUGUGAGUUCAAGCCCCACCCUGGGCU
rnacentral:tRNA from 1 species